AACGAACGCUGGCGGCAUGCCUAACACAUGCAAGUCGAACGAGACCUUCGGGUCUAGUGGCGCCCGGGUGCGUAACGCGUGGGAAUCUGCCCUUCGGUUGGGAAUAACUGAGAGAAAUUUCAGCUAAUACCUUAUAAUGUCUUCGGACCAAAGAUUUAUCGCCGAGGGAUGAGCCCGCGUAGGAUUAGGUAGUUGGUGGGGUAAUGGCCUACCAAGCCGACGAUCCCUAGCUGGUCUGAGAGGAUGAUCAGCCACACUGGGACUGGGACACGGCCCAGACUCCUACGGGAGGCAGCAGUGGGGAAUAUUGGACAAUGGGCGAAAGCCUGAUCCAGCAAUGCCGCGUGAGUGAUGAAGGCCUUAGGGUUGUAAAGCUCUUUUACCCGGGAUGAUAAUGACAGUACCGGGAGAAUAAGCUCCGGCUAACUCCGUGCCAGCCGCCGCGGUAA
rnacentral:rRNA from 1 species